rnacentral:rRNA from 1 species
CCCUUAGAUGUCCUGGGCCGCACGCGCGUUACACUGAUGCAUUCAACGAGCUUAUAGCCUUGGCCGAGAGGCCUGGGCAAUCUUGUUAACGUGCAUCGUGAUAGGGAUAGAUUAUUGAAAUUAUUAAUCUUGAACGAGGAAUUCCUAGUAAACGCAGAUCAUCAAUCUGCAUUGAUUACGUCCCUGCCCUUUGUACGCACCGCCCGUCGCACCUACCGAUUGGAUGGUCCGGUGAAGCCUCGGGAUUGUGGUUCUUGCCGCUUUAUUGUGGCGUGACCGCGAGAACUUGUCUAAACCUUAUCAUCUAGAGGAAGGUGAAGUCGUAACA